GCGUCUGUAGCUCAGCUGGAUAGAGUAUUUGACUACGAAUCAAAGGGCCGGGGGUUCGAAUCCCUCCAGAUGCG
rnacentral:tRNA from 1 species